rnacentral:lncRNA from 1 species
UAAGUACUGACUCCUUCCCCUGCAGGCUGGCGAAUCACACUGCUGAUUCAACAGGGUAGAAAGAACUGCCUGCCAGGAAUAGGAAGAGUUCUAAAAGCAUGCUUACAGAGCUGAUAGGAUGGAAGAGGGCAACAGACAAGUGAGGACCAAUCCCUAACAGGUAUGCACCAAGAGAAAUACUUAGGAUCAAACAGGAAGACCCGCGGGUAAAGACUGGAGCCGAGGAAGACACCCGGAGCCCUGCUCUACUUAAAGUGAUGGCAAACGACCAAGGACAAACAGGUGAAAGAGUUCAAGGAAAGUUCCGACCCGCACUAAUGAGCUGAGCUGCCUGGAUUCUGGCCUGGAGAAGCCUCUCCAGCAGGUUUUAUAUCAGCCUUUUUCAUCACUGUCGAUGAUUGGACGACAGCAUCAUCAUCAUCUCCUUUGGGAAGUUUUGAAUUUUAUUUCCUUUUGCUCUUCUGUGCCAGCAGCUUAGAUGUGACUCACUCACUUCCUGUACUGACCUUUGAAGAUUUUCUCUACACCUGAAAAUUUAAAUAUCUAAUGUUAUCCGCAUAU